AUUUGUUUAAUUUUAUAAUGAGCUGGUGUACCUGAAGGAGGAGCUGGAGCAAUAUAUAGCAGCACAACCGGGCAGAGGCCUCUGAGUCUGAGAUUGGGAAAACCCGCUGGAUGAUGAGCCUUUUGUUUUAGAUUGAGGUAAUUCGAUCUAAAGGAUGCACCGUGAGGAGGUGGCAUGCCGUGUCAUAUUCAUCUGUUUGCCGAAUGGAGAGUAGUGAGGGAUGUUUCCGAAGCUGUUGUCAGAAGAAAGGGACAAGUCAUGAAGUUUCCUACAAGUUACAAGGCAAUAGUGACUACUAUUCAGAAGCAGUUUUUCCAGUACUGCAGAUUUCCAGGAGUUGCUGUUGAUGGGACACAUGUUUACAUCAGGAGCCCUGGUGGGGCAAGAGCCAGGUACUACUUCAAUAGGAAGAACAGGUACUCCAUCGAUGUUCAGGUUGUCUGUGAUUAUGCUGGGAAAAUAACUAGUAUCGUUGCAAGGUGGCCUGGACUGGUAGCAGCCACGAUGCCAGGAUCUUUUCUGAGUGUGCACUGAAUUGACAGCUUGAUGCUAGGGCAUAUGAAUAACAGUUGAUUCUUGGAGAUAGACUAUAGGGUAUCCAUGCCUUCUCUGCCUCAUCAGAAGCCAUUUCUUCAUUCAGAGGGUCGACCACAGAUGUGCUUUAAAGGCCAUCUGUACUAGUUCAGCCAAAGAGGAUUAGACAACCCAGCAAGGUCACUGACGGGAGGCUAUCUCAUCAAUUCAGUUCUCAAUUA
rnacentral:lncRNA from 1 species